GUGUGCCAACAACAAUAACAAAGGAACGUUGACGUCGGGAAAGCAGUUGACGAAGAGCAUACAGAAUUGCAUCCAGGUCAGCCGUGAAGAUGCCAGUCUCCGGGGGUAGGAGGCACACACAAGGGUUUGGUCAGGAAAGACCACGGAGUAGCCAAAACCGUUGGCAGACCUGGGCGUGGAGUAGUGGAGUGUUUGGCGAACAAAUCUAACAUCACAACCAGAAAGAACACUUUCUUGAUCUGGUACAGGACUCCUGUCUCACACAGCAUGUGGCAGACUCUAUGCUCGAUCAAAUACAGAAUAUGCGCGACUAAUUCUUGAACCAAGAGUGGAAAAUCUGCAACCCAAGAAACCAGUCGUCUGGGCAAAAAAGAACAGGGAACAUAAUACUGUACUUUGAGCAAACAACUCAACCACAUGAUAUUCAGAGGAAUCCGCAGCCUACUUUCCGGUGCGAUUUGGGUGCCCCGCCGCGCCAGCGAAAAUGUUAACUUCGUCUUUGACAUAGCUCGAGUGCAUUGGGGGAGUUGUGUAAAACCAUGGUUUCUCUCUCGUAGA